AUCCAUCACCAGGGGCUUAUACCUGUGGUCUGCAGUUCUUGCUCCUGCAACAUGUCAACCUGAGAUGGCCUGGCACAAAGUACUAUACUGGGUGACCAGAACUGUAGGGAUUCAGGAUCAGCCACUUGCAGAAGCCAGAAGUCCAAGAUCAAGAGGAACUCCCGAAGGACUAGGGGACAUCACCUACUGUGCUUGCGGUAGUGUGUCUUUGAUCUCUCUACAGUGUCCUCCUCUCUUGGGUGUGCACAUGUUCAAGCUUCCACUUCUGUAAGGACAUUGAAUUUGGGCUCAGCCAGGGAUGAAGAGUUGAGGACCACUAGAGGCUAUGGAGCAUCUUUUGGAAGGCUAAGCCUCAGAAGGACAGAAUCAGAAAGCAAAGCAGAGGCGCUUCUGCUCAGGGAGUCCAGAGCCUCUUCUCACUGUGGUCUCGGCUGCUCUCCUGAACACACUAUCCUACUGGACAGCACGGCGGCCUUCAGUCUCCCGUAGUGCUCUUUACGCUGCUUGGAAACCAGGGAAGUUUGUGAAGCGCCAUUCAAACAUGAGCCCUACAGGUCCUCCUACCAUCUGCCUCUUUCCCACUUUCAUCUCGUCUGGGAAGGACCAACUGCAGGAGGUGGAUGAGAAAGGAAGGAGCGAGGGCUGCUCAAGGCCCAGCUUACCUGACCUACCGUGCUGCCCGUCCUUCCAAUCCAACCCCACACUGUGCAGCCGGGGAUGCUGUGAGCAGCUGCAGCGUUGUGGAGGAGAUUCACUUUGACUUGGGAUCCAAUGAAACAUCACCUGAUGACAUCAUCUCCAUGAACCCUCCCCAGGACAGGAGAACAAAAGAGGAGAGUGACAGGAGGAGGUCCUCUGAAGAGCCAUCACUGGUCACUGGGUUCUAUCAUCAGUGAGCACUGACCGCAGCCAGGCGGCCCCCACAGCUUCCCACACCAAAUAGACGAAGGAGCUGGAAGAAGGCAGGGUGCAGAUUGUUCACUUGCUUCACACUCUAUGUUGUUGCCUCUCUAUCUCAGAGGAAAACAGCACAUUUCCCAGGGGUGAAAACAAGCCCAGCUCUGUGAUCAUCAAACCACAGGGCUGGGCUCAGCCUGGUAUGGACUGAGAGCUACAGGGAGGAGCCUGGCCAGGACUCCUGGAGCUUGUCUGCUCACACAACUUGUUGCUAUUCAGACAACCCUGGGAGGCAGGCACCAGCUCCCCUACCCCUCCUCUAGCUGCUGGGUCUGAGCUAACGGCUCCUCCUUCCUUUAGCUCAACAUGAGGCCAGUCUCGUCCUCUGGAGAAGGAUGUGGUCCACAUGGCUUCCACCUUAUGACGCUACAUCCCUCCAGCCUCUGCAGGACAUGUGGGAUGGAACGCCCACAGUGAGAGAACUGAGUGUCUCACUGGGCUCAGGGUCUUCAUCAAUUUGCCCCCUCCUCCUCACCAACAUUAUCGCUGACCAGUGCAGAGACUGUGCCUCCUUCCUGCAGGCACCAAAGGUGCUGGCCCCCUGUCCCAGGAUUCCAGAAACUGGUGGAAUUUUUUCCCCCGCCCCAUGGAGGGAUGUUUUGACUUUCAUUUUGACUACCCUUUUGAAGUUUUU